GACGAACGCUGGCGGCGUGCUUAACACAUGCAAGUCGAGCGAUGAAGUUUCUUCGGAAAUGGAUUAGCGGCGAACGGGUGAGGAACACGUGAAGAAUCUGCCCUCCACUUCGGGAUAACACCGGGAAACCGGUGCUAAUACUGAAUAUUGAAACAUAAGUGGCAUCACUGAGUUUUGAAAGAAUUUCGGUGGAGGAUGACUUCGCGGCCUAUCAGCUAGUUGGUGAGGUAAUGGCUCACCAAGGCAACGACGGGUAGCCGGCCUGAGAGGGCGACCGGCCACACUGGGACUGAGACACGGCCCAGACUCCUACGGGAGGCAGCAGUGGGGAAUAUUGGGCAAUGGAGGAAACUCUGACCCAGCGACGCCGCGUGCGGGAUGAAGGCCUUCGGGUUGUAAACCGCUUUCAGUAGGGAAGAAGCGAAAGUGACGGUACCUACAAAAGAAGCACCGGCUAACUAUGUGCCAGCAGCCGCGGUAAUACAUAGGGUGCAAGCGUUGUCCGGAAUUAUUGGGCGUAAAGAGCUCGUAGGUCGUUUGUUACGUCGGAUGUGAAAACCUGAGGCUCAACCUCAGGCCUGCAUUCGAUACGGGCAAACUAGAGUUUGGUAGGGGAGACUGGAAUUCCUGGUGUAGCGGUGGAAUGCGCAGAUAUCAGGAGGAACACCAAUGGCGAAGGCAGGUCUCUGGGCCGAUACUGACACUGAGGAGCGAAAGUCUGGGGAGCGAACAGGAUUAGAUACCCUGGUAGUCCAGACCGUAAACGGUGGGCACUAGUUGUGGGAACCUUCCACGGUUUCUGCGACGCAGCUAACGCAUUAAGUGCCCCGCCUGGGGAGUACGAUCGCAAGAUUAAAACUCAAAGGAAUUGACGGGGCCCCGCACAAGCAGCGGAGCAUGCGGCUUAAUUCGACGCAACGCGAAGAACCUUACCAAGGCUUGACAUAUAGGGAAAAGUGGCAGAGAUGUCA
rnacentral:rRNA from 1 species